rnacentral:rRNA from 1 species
UACGAAGGGGGCUAGCGUUGUUCGGAAUCACUGGGCGUAAAGCGCACGUAGGCGGAUCUUUAAGUCAGAGGUGAAAUCCCAAGGCUCAACCUUGGAACUGCCUUUGAUACUGGGGAUCUUGAGUCCGGGAGAGGUGAGUGGAACUGCGAGUGUAGAGGUGAAAUUCGUAGAUAUUCGCAAGAACACCAGUGGCGAAGGCGGGUCUCUGGACAGUUCCGUGACGCUGAGGCACGAAGGUCAGGGGA